rnacentral:rRNA from 1 species
UACGUAGGGGGCUAGCGUUGUCCGGAAUCAUUGGGCGUAAAGCGCGUGUAGGCGGUCCGGUAAGUCCGCUGUGAAAGUCGGGGGCUCAACCCUCGAAUGCCGGUGGAUACUGUCGGGCUAGAGUGCGGAAGAGGCGAGUGGAAUUCCUGGUGUAGCGGUGAAAUGCGCAGAUAUCAGGAGGAACACCAAUGGCGAAGGCAGCUCGCUGAGACGGUACUGACGCUGAGGCGCGAAAGCGUGGGGAGCAAACAGG